GUCUACAGCCCUACCACCAUGAAUGCGCCCGAUCUCAUGAAGCUAAGCAGGGCUGGGCCUGGUUAGUACUUGAAUGGGAGACCACCUGCGAAUACUGGGUGCUGUAGGCU
rnacentral:rRNA from 1 species